rnacentral:rRNA from 1 species
AGUUUGAUCCUGGCUCAGAUUGAACGCUGGCGGCAGGCCUAACACAUGCAAGUCGAGCGGUAGCACAGAGAGCUUGCUCUCGGGUGACGAGCGGCGGACGGGUGAGUAAUGUCUGGGAAAUCCUGUGGAGGGGGAAAAUCGGGAACGGGUAUUAUACCCGCAAACGUGCAAAACCAAAAGUGGGGCCUUUCGGCCCCCUCCCCUUAAAAUGCCCCAGAUGGGAUUAGUUGGGAGGUGGGUAACGGUUCCCCUGGGGGGACGACCCCUAGUGUGUUUGAAGGGAUGCCCAGCCCACAGGGAAAUGAGACACGGUCCAGAUUCCUAGGGGGGGCACCAGUGGGGAAUUUUGCACAAUGGGCGCAACCUUGAUGCACCCAUGCCGCGUUGGUGAAAGAAGCCUUUCGGGUUGUAAAGCACUUUCAGCGGGGAGGAAGGCGAUAAGGUUAAUAACCUUGUCGAUUGACGUUACCCGCAGAAGAAGCACCGGCUAACUCCGUGCCAGCAGCCGCGGUAAUACGGAGGGUGCAAGCGUUAAUCGGAAUUACUGGGCGUAAAGCGCACGCAGGCGGUCUGUCAAGUCGGAUGUGAAAUCCCCGGGCUCAACCUGGGAACUGCAUUCGAAACUGGCAGGCUAGAGUCUUGUAGAGGGGGGUAGAAUUCCAGGUGUAGCGGUGAAAUGCGUAGAGAUCUGGAGGAAUACCGGUGGCGAAGGCGGCCCCCUGGACAAAGACUGACGCUCAGGUGCGAAAGCGUGGGGAGCAAACAGGAUUAGAUACCCUGGUAGUCCACGCCGUAAACGAUGUCGAUUUGGAGGUUGUGCCCUUGAGGCGUGGCUUCCGGAGCUAACGCGUUAAAUCGACCGCCUGGGGAGUACGGCCGCAAGGUUAAAACUCAAAUGAAUUGACGGGGGCCCGCACAAGCGGUGGAGCAUGUGGUUUAAUUCGAUGCAACGCGAAGAACCUUACCUGGUCUUGACAUCCACAGAACUUUCCAGAGAUGGAUUGGUGCCUUCGGGAACUGUGAGACAGGUGCUGCAUGGCUGUCGUCAGCUCGUGUUGUGAAAUGUUGGGUUAAGUCCCGCAACGAGCGCAACCCUUAUCCUUUGUUGCCAGCGGUUAGGCCGGGAACUCAAAGGAGACUGCCAGUGAUAAACUGGAGGAAGGUGGGGAUGACGUCAAGUCAUCAUGGCCCUUACGACCAGGGCUACACACGUGCUACAAUGGCAUAUACAAAGAGAAGCGACCUCGCGAGAGCAAGCGGACCUCAUAAAGUAUGUCGUAGUCCGGAUUGGAGUCUGCAACUCGACUCCAUGAAGUCGGAAUCGCUAGUAAUCGUAGAUCAGAAUGCUACGGUGAAUACGUUCCCGGGCCUUGCACACACCGCCCGUC